rnacentral:rRNA from 1 species
CCUACGGGUGGCAGCAGUAGGGAAUAUUGCACAAUGGGGGAAACCCUGAAGCAGCAACGCCGCGUGGAGGAUGAAGGUUUUCGGAUUGUAAACUCCUGUUGUUAGAGAAGAUAAUGACGGUAUCUAACGAAUAAGCACCGGCUAACUCCGUGCCAGAAGCCGCGGUACUACGGAGGGUGCAAGCGUUACUCGGAAUCACUGGGCGUAAUGAGCGCGGAGGCGGGAUAGCAAGUCAGAUGUGAAAUCCUAUGGCUUAACCAUAGAACUGCAUUUGAAACUGUGAUUCUAGAGUAUGGGAGAGGUAGGUGGAAUUCUUGGUGUAGGGGUAAAAUCCGUAGAUAUCAAGAGGAAUACUCAUGGCGAAGGCGACCUGCUAGAACAUAACUGACGCUGAGGCGCGAAAGCGUGGGUAGCAAACAGGAUUAGAUACCCUUGUAGUC